rnacentral:rRNA from 1 species
GCGAGUCGUAGGGUCUUGCGUAGGCCCCGUGGCGUAGCGAAAGCAAAGUCGAGACGUCGGGGCAGCUAGCCCCGACGGCAUCGGCGGCUCGGCGGACGUCCGGGUCCAAACGGCCCGUCGCGAAGAGGCGUCAAAAACCUUUUUCGCGACGGCGAGUCGUGUCCGGCUCGUCGGAGUCCGAGCAUGCGAGUUGGUACCCGAAAGAUGGUGAACUAUGCCCCGCCAGGGCGAAGUCGGAGGAAACUCCGGUGGAGGCCCGAAGCGGUUCUGACGUGCAAAUCGAUCGUCGGAGCGAGGUAU